UAUUCAUAGUUUAAGAGCAAU
ensembl:piRNA 21ur-1349 ncRNA